rnacentral:rRNA from 1 species
AUUGAACGCUGGCGGCAUGCUUUACACAUGCAAGUCGAACGGCAGCGGGGGCUUCGGCCUGCCGGCGAGUGGCGAACGGGUGAGUAAUGCAUCGGAACGUACCCAUGUUGUGGGGGAUAACGUAGCGAAAGCUACGCUAAUACCGCAUAAGCACUGAGGGGGAAAGCGGGGGAUUCUUCGGAACCGCGCGCAAUUGGAGAGGCCGAUGUCUGAUUAGCUAGUUGGUAGGGUAAAGGCCUACCAAGGCGACGAUCUGUAGCGGGUCUGAGAGGGUGAUCCGCCACACUGGGACUGAGACACGGCCCAGACUCCUACGGGAGGCAGCAGUGGGGAAUUUUGGACAAUGGGGGCAACCCUGAUCCAGCCAUGCCGCGUGAGUGAAGAAGGCCUUCGGGUUGUAAAGCUCUUUCAGUUGGGAAGAAACGGGGUUCUCUAACAUAGGAUCCUAAUGACGGUACCGACAGAAGAAGCACCGGCUAACUACGUGCCAGCCGCCGCAGUAACAC